GAUGAACGCUAGCGGCAGGCCUAAUACAUGCAAGUCGAGGGGCAACAGGUGUAGCAAUACAUGCUGGCGACCGGCGCACGGGUGCGUAACACGUAUGUAAUCUACCCUUUACUGGAAGAUAGCCCGGAGAAAUUCGGAUUAAUACUCCAUAACACUAUAACAUGGCAUCAUGAAGUAGUUAAAGAUUUAUCGGUAAAGGAAGAGCAUGCGGCUGAUUAGCUAGUUGGUGAGGUAACGGCUCACCAAGGCAACGAUCAGUAGGGGACCUGAGAGGGUGAUCCCCCACACUGGUACUGAGAUACGGACCAGACGCCUACGGGAGGCAGCAGUAGGGAAUAUUGGGCAAUGGAGGCAACUCUGACCCAGCCAUGCCGCGUGCAGGAAGACGGCCUUCUGGGUUGUAAACUGCUUUUGAUCGGGAACAAAGAGCCCUUGCGAGGGAAGUUGAGUGUACCGAUAGAAUAAGCACCGGCUAACUCCGUGCCAGCCGCCGCAGUAA
rnacentral:rRNA from 1 species